rnacentral:rRNA from 1 species
GCGAGUGAACCGGGAAGAGCUCAAAUUUGAAAUCUGGCGUCCUCAGGGCGUCCGAGUUGUAAUCUAUAGAGGCGUUUUCCGUGCCGGACCGUGUCCAAGUUCCUUGGAACAGGAUAUCAAAGAGGGUGACAAUCCCGUACUUGACACGACGACCGGUGCUCUGUGAUACGUCUUCUACGAGUCGAGUUGUUUGGGAAUGCAGCUCAAAAUGGGUGGUGAGUUCCAUCUAAAGCUAAAUAUUGGCGAGAGACCGAUAGCGAACAAGUACCGUGAGGGAAAGAUGAAAAGCACUUUGGAAAGAGAGUUAAACAGUACGUGAAAUUGUUGAAAGGGAAACGAUUGAAGUCAGUCGUGACCGAGAGGCUCAGCCGGUUCUGCCGGUGUAUUCCCCUCGGUCGGGUCAACAUCAGUUUUGUCCGGUGGAUAAGGGCGGUAGGAAGGUGGCACCCUCGGGUGUGUUAUAGCCUGCCGUCGCAUACAUCGGGUGAGACUGAGGAACGCAGCUCGCCUUUAUGGCCGGGGUUCGCCCACGUCCGAGCUUAGGAUGUUGACAUAAUGGCUUUAAACGACCC